CCCGAGCCUGGGAGGGGAGAGAGAGAAGAGGAGACGCAAAGGGGCUGCUCUUUGGCCCCAUUCCCCGACCUUGGAGGAUUCCUCCCCUACCCUCCCCCCAGGCGGCUGCAGUCCCCCCCACUGAGAACGCGACCUCCUCGCCUGGACUCCCGGCUCCGCGGAUUCGGUCUCCCUGACCAGAGCCCUUUCCACCCCACCCUAGCGCUUCCAGUCCCAACCACUGGAGACCUAGUCGAGCGAAGUGGGGAAAGGGCAGCAAGCACCCAACGAGGGACCCAGAAGAGCCUGAUGGCCCUAAGAAGUUAGUAGACUUUCUUCCCACUUGCCCUUCCAGCUUCCCCCCCCGCCCCCCACACACACACACCCUAUCUCCCCAGGGCUCAUCUGGGCCCUGGUCCACUCUGCCUUCCAGAGAACUGUAUCAACCGAACUCCUGGGGAAGGAGGUGCUAAGCCCCUUCUUCCUUCCUGGAUGCUUGUUUCCACUGCCCGACUCCCUCCCCAGAGGAAGAUUGACCAGGGAGAUUGCCACCGUCGUUGUGCAAAUUGUGCAUCGCACAACUCCUAUUUCUCUCGUAGCCCCUUGUAGAUUUGUGUAGCUGUUAUGACAGUUUUCCAGCAGGUGGCAGACAAGCAUUUCCAGGUAGGGGUCUCUUUUCCUAAUUCGACCAGCUUUGCUAUUUGGGCUAGCUAGGGGCUGGCUAGGUCCUCUGUGAGAUCCUGCUGGUGCCUGUUUCCCCCACGCUUGCCUCAGUCCUGCUGGGAUUGGGAGGGACCCUACAGUAACAUUUGAGUAGGGACCUGUCUCCUGGGUUCUCUCUCUGGUCCCCAGUUCCCUAGGUACUCAUCUAUCCUCCCCCACAAAGCUUUCUGCUGUCCUGGAGCUGGUUUCAGGAUGCCUGAGGGGUAAGGGUGCCUGUCAGGGCAUAAUAGGUGACCUACCAUGGAUUUUUUUUUUUUUUUUUUUUGGCUUGGCCUAUAAAGCUACAAGGCAGCCAAGCCGAAGUACAGAUCAGAGACCAUCUUCCAGACUCCCAGGACAGCGAUCUUUCAGUCUCCCAGCAAGUAGGCCCCCUUCCACUUUCUCCAAGUGUAAACUGUCCAGGUGAUAGGAAGAAGAGAGGGGCUGGAAGCUGAACUUGUAGGGACAGAACACAAAAGUUGCAAACUGACGGCACCUACUGGCAACUAUCAAGACUGCAGAAGAUCUGGAGAGUUCUGACGGGGUGGGGGGCGGGAGGGCCCGGGGACAAGAUUCUGGGAUUCUCUCCCUGCUGUCUCACAGACAAACUGGGGUCUUUUCUGUCUUGGAUAAGGGCAAACAGAGCCAGGCUCUUUACGUCCCCGGGGGAAGCCCAGCCUGCACCUGAUUCAGAAAACUUCCCCUAGCUCUAUCCCCCUCCAUCAUCACUGAGGCGCCAACGUAUUGUAUGAACUUGGACACCACCCCUUGGAGCUG
rnacentral:lncRNA from 1 species